rnacentral:lncRNA from 1 species
UGGAAACCAUCCUCAACUUCUUCAGCCAGAGUUGGCACCCCCAGGAGAAAAUACACACAACUAGGUCAGGCAGAAUGUCCGCUUCUAUAUCAUCAGGAUUCAGCCAAUAAUUCUGGAGCCCCUACUGGCUGACUAAUACUAGGCCCUUUGGGAAUUGCAAAGAUGAAUAAGGUAACUCCUCUGUCUCAAGAAGCUUUCAAGAGAUUGGGCAAGUGAUGAUCAGCAAGCUAGUCUGAGAGAAGAGAGAGUAUCUAGAACAAGAUAUACCCAUGAGCCAAUAGGAGACUCUACCUGUGCAUUGCCUUUGGAAGGGAACUUCUGGGGUCUCUUUACAGAGGAAGUGUUGGGUCAGAUACUUGUGCAUUAGGAAGAAGAGCAAAAAAAAUGGCACUCACAUCUGGAGAUUUUGUCCAAAUCCAUCCCAAAGCUUCACCACUAAUAAAGGCAAAAUAAACUUCACCACUAAUAAAGGCAAAACAGAAAAUGUUUGACUCAACUUAUUUUUUUUUUUUUGAGACGGAGUCUUUCUCUGUCACCAGGCUGGAGUGCAGUGGUGCGAUCUCAGCUCACUGCAACCUCCACCUCCCAGGUUCAAGCAAUUCCUCUGCCUCUGUCUCCCAAGUAGCUGGGACUACAGGCAUGUGCCACCACGCCCGGCUAAUUUUUUGUAUUUUAGUAGAGACGGGGUUUCACCAUGUUGGCCAGGAUUGUCUCAAUCUUCUGACCUCGUGAUCCGCCUGCCUCGACCUCCAAAAGUGCUGGGAUUACAG